GUGGGGAAUAUUGCACAAUGGGCGCAAGCCUGAUGCAGCAACGCCGCGUGAGCGAUGAAGGUCUUCGGAUCGUAAAGCUCUGUCGCAUGGGAAGAUAAUGACGGUACCAUGUGAGGAAGCACCGGCUAACUACGUGCCAGCAGCCGCGGUAAUACGUAGGGUGCUAGCGUUAUCCGGAAUUACUGGGCGUAAAGGGUGCGUAGGUGGUCUAGUAAGUCAGGGGUUAAAUUUCACGGCUCAACCGUGUCCAGCCUCUGAAACUACAUGACUUGAGUGCAGGAGAGGAAAGCGGAAUUCCCAGUGUAGCGGUGAAAUGCGUAGAUAUUGGGAGGAACACCGGUAGCGAAGGCGGCUUUCUGGACUGUAACUGACACUGAGGCACGAAAGCGUGGGUAGCAAACAGGA
rnacentral:rRNA from 1 species